UGGUCCACCAAAUUGAGAGGUGACAACGUGCUAGCAGCCCUCGCUCUCGGCGCCUCCUCGGCCUUGGCGUCCACUCUGGCAGCGCUUGAAGAGCCCUUCAGCCCCCCACUGCACUGUAGGAGCCCUUCUCUGGGCUGGCCAAGGCAGGAGCCGCCUCCCUCUGCUUGCAGCCCUGAAAGAAAACCGAGAGACAACCCACUAGGAUAUCUUCUUCGUCCUGCAGAAAAUAAAUCACAUUAAUAAGAACCAACAUGGAGUCUCAACACGUAAUACAGAUGAAGCCAAGGAAACACAGAUAGAUUGAGGCAGAAAACGCAGAGACUAUGAAUCUCCUUGGAUCCACAUGAAGGUGCCCACUGAGAGCUCACCUAAAACAUUAGGGCCCUUCAGAGAGUGCUUCAGAUAAUGUUGUUGUAAAUAAAUGACAUUUUCCUGAAACACUUGUGAGCAAGCUAUAAAGUGCUAAGACAACAUAUAGAAACUAUUUAGAAAAAGAGGUCCAAAACAGUUGAUUCUCAUUAUUUGUGGUAGUUAUGUUCUAUAAAUUACCCACAAACCCUGAUUUAGCAAAUACUGAACCUUUGCUCCUGGGAGAAACACAGGGCUAGGUUCCUGAGAGCAUCUGGUCACAUUUUCAUCAACCAGUCAAUAUGCAAUGUUGUUUUAUGUGUGUGCCUGUUUAAAGAUGCCUUAUUUAAUCUAUGUUGUUGACUUAUUCACAUUGAACUCACAACCAACAGCACUAUAACUCAUGACCAAAUGAAGCUUAUGUAACAUGCAUAUUUUCUUUGGAAGACACACCACAGACUUCUUGCACUUAGGAAAUCUAGACAGCACUUCAGUACUGUUUAGGGGCCAUUUUAAACAGUGAAAUUGCCAACAAAAAUGAAAAAAAUAAAGAGCAUGGCACUAAGGAGACUAGGACACUUGUUUACAGCAUGAGAGUUGAGAUAAGAAGGCAGAGCAUGGCCUUAUUAGAUCUCAGUUAAAAACAUGUGCGUCAGACGACUCAACAUUUUCACUGAUUUGCACAUGUCCUCAGAUGAUGGAGAAGGCAUCAUGAGUAUUGAUUUGGGGUUCUAAAUAUAUUUCACUGUGUAGGCAAAUUUACCAACAAGCAGUCUAUGAAUAAUGAGAAUAGACUGUAAUCACUUUAAUGUGUCAGGAAUGAAAGACAGCAUGUUUGAUGCAGAUAUAUCUUCAAUGUUGAUUACACCUUAAUGCAGUAUUAUUUAGUUCCUUAAAGAAUACAAAGAGAGACAUUUGCAGCAGAAGGACAAAUGACUUCAUGCAUGCUCAUCCAGAAACUUUUUUCUCUAAGUAACAGUUAUUGUUUAAUUAUAUAGAAUUAAAUAUAUUCUUUAUAUAUUUUAAUAUAACUUUAAUAUUUGCCAAAUAUAUGUAGCAUAAGAUACACAGAAUUAAUCACAUAACAUCAUAUUUAAUAGCCAUAAAUGAUAACAUAUUACACGAAGUCAGAUGGAGGGGAAAAUUAGGUCUUACCAACGUCAAAAUACAAGUGUAUGAUAGAUAAAUAUUUAUAACAUAUUUUAACUGUUAAGAAAAAUCAGAAACUGCCAUGAAGGUGAAACCCACUUAUACUACUAUUUAAUAAAACUUUCUCUCGCCCACAUUUCUGUGAAUAAAAUCCUGGCCUCCUGCUGAGUGGUUCCCCUAUUCGUUUUUGGAAAAUGUCAUAAAAUGGCUUCAUUGACCAAUAAUCAUGUGGGACAGGACAGAACAGAUGAGUUGAGGGUUGAUCUUAAUGUGGAACACCUAAUAAAACCACCUGUUUUUCAA